rnacentral:rRNA from 1 species
GUAGGUGGCAAGCGUUGUCCGGGAAUUAUUGGGGCGUAAAGCGCGCGCAGGCGGUCCUUUAAGGUCUGAUGUGAGAGCCCACGGGCUCAACCGUGGAGGGUCAUUGGAAACUGGGGGACUUGAGUACAGAAGAGGAAAGCGGAAUUCCAAGUGUAGCGGUGAAAUGCGUAGAGAUUUGGAGGAACACCAGUGGCGAAGGCGGCUUUCUGGUCUGUAACUGACGCUGAGGCGCGAAAGCGUGGGGAGCAAACAGGAUUAGAUACCCUGGUAGUCCACGCCGUAAACGAUGAGUGCUAAGUGUUAGGGGGUUUCCGCCCCUUAGUGCUGCAGCUAACGCAUUAAGCACUCCGCCUGGGGAGUACGGCCGCAAAGGCUGA